CUUGCCCCUAGAAACAUUGCAGGUGUGGCUGCUAUGUCACAUGUCAGUAGGUGGCAGGGAGGAGACAGGCUAUGUCUACGCUCAGUGUUCUGACCAACGAACAUCUGAAUGAUUUGUAGUAGCCUGACACU